UACAGAGGUCUCAAGCGUUGUUCGGAUUCAUUGGGCGUAAAGGGUGUGUAGGUGGCGCGCUAAGUCGGGUGUGAAAUUUCGGAGCUUAACUCCGAAACUGCAUUCGAUACUGGCGUGCUUGAGGACUGGAGAGGAGACUGGAAUUCAUGGUGUAGCAGUGAAAUGCGUAGAGAUCAUGAGGAAGACCAGUGGCGAAGGCGGGUCUCUGGACAGCUCCUGACACUGAGACACGAAGGCCAGGGGAGCAAACGGG
rnacentral:rRNA from 1 species